GCACUGCUGAGGAGUCCUAUGCUAGGGCGAAACGGCCGUCCAGUGC
rnacentral:hammerhead_ribozyme from 1 species